ensembl:scaRNA SCARNA6 small Cajal body-specific RNA 6
GAUCCAUAUUGAAAAGUAGGGAAAGUGCGGCAUCCUCACCAUCCCCAGCCGCCUCUCUCCCACUGGGCUCCAGUAGUGCUGUGGCGGGCAAAGCACACUGACGUUCGGUUAUGACCCAGUUCUGCGUUGCUUGGUAGCCCAGGAAAGACGCCAUGGUUGGCAUCUAACAGCUAGUCACGAAAAGAUUUGAUUGUUGGGAAUGCUGGUGUCUGUGGUUAUGAUCUGACAUUUCAAGCUGAGACC